AGUUGCACCAGUCUCUGUGUAAAAGAUCCCACCUCUCCUCACUGCUUUCCUUACUCCCCGGACUGUUGUGGCUGCACACAUGAGUGCUCAUUGCCAUUUUUCUCAUUGCUGCUCAGCACUGAGCUGACGCUUGUGUGGGACUCCCCUCAGCUGUCCCAGCAUCUUCCAAACAGCAAGACUCAUUGAGGAACCCAUUCCCUGUGUAAGUGCAGCCAGAAUGAUUUUUUUUUCCCCAUGCGCGUUGCUGUACAUCAGGCUCUGAAUUUCACUUGUUGCCUUAUUGCUCAGUGAUGCAUCCUUGUAAAACCCUUCUGCAAGACUUGAGUUGCUGCUGGAUUUCAUUGUGAAUCAUCUCGCCUGCAAGUGCUGUCCUCAAACCACCCAUGCCUUUUCCAAGCCUUCUGCAGCCCCCAAACCCUGAAAGGGGAGAAGAUGGGAAAUGCUGCUGCUCUCCUGCCAUGACGGUGCUGUGCUUGGGCUCUCAGGAGGGCAGGUGCUGGAAUUCACACGUUGCUUGAGAAUAAGAACAGUGACGAACCUGAGGCCAAGAAGUUCAAAGAGGACGAGGAGGAGGAAACUGUCAGGCACAGGUAAUGAUUUAUUUAUUCUGACUUCUCUUUCUUGUGUGUAUUGUUCAGGUACAGCCCACCUGUUUGCUAAUUAGGAUCUUUCUUGGCCUUCAAAAAUGCAAUUUUUGUUUUAUUUUGGUGUGAAUAACUUGCUGCAAAUAGUCUGAGAUAGGGGAAUGAAGAGAACCCUCUGGCUGGCUUACAGCAGACUGUUGCAAGGGGAUGGUGAUGUUCUCAGAGACACCUGGAGGACAGAUGCACUUCAGAUUCCCCUCAGUUAGAGAACCAUUUACAGGAUCAUAGAAUCAUUGAGGUCAGAAGGAAUCUCUGGAGAUCUUCCAGUCCAACCCCCCUGAAUAUCUCCAAAGAAGGAGACUCCACCAUCCCUCUGUGCAUCCUGUUCCAGGGCUCUGUCAUCCUCAAAGUAAAGAAGUUCUUCCUCAUGUUUGUGUGGAACUUUCUGUGGUCUACUUUAUGCCCAUUGUCCCUUGUCCUGUUGGUGGGCACCACUGAAAAGAGCCUGGUCCCAUCCUCUUGGCCUCCACACUCCAGAUACUGAUAAGCAUGAUCAGAUCCUCCCACUCAGCCUUCUCUUCUCCAGGCUGAACAGUUUAGGGUUCU
rnacentral:lncRNA from 1 species